UCCGUGCUUUGAUGGUGCAAUCAGGGGACGCUGGAUCUGUGGAGAGCCAUCUCCCCUGAGUUUCUGUAAAUCAGUUCAAUGGGAUUCCAAAGAGAACGGCGAAGACCGAUGGCUCCCCGGGGACCUGUAAGCAACCUAUCGCUCCUCUCCUCUGCCUGCUUAGCAACCUGAAGCCUCCACACUCGUAACGUCCUCUCUAGGGCUGAGGCAGGAUCCAGAACAGACCCAGGGCGGAAGACCUCUCUCCCACCAUCUUUACUUAGGCUACCUACAAGUAGCACUGGGGGCAGGGAAGGGAAGAUGCCAACAAAAUAUUUUUCUUUUCACAGGUGACUGUUCUGGGAUGGAAAAUUUUGUCCAACAAGGCAACCCCAUCUUCAAAUCCGGUGACCCCACAUGGGCUUGACGCUCACAGUUUAGGAACCCCUGAGUAGAGACCCCUCACUUUAGGGAAAGAUGAGAUUUCCUCUGCAUCCCUCCACGCUUCCAGAUGAUGUCAUCUUUUUUUUUUUUUAGUUUCCAGACCCUGAAAUGAUCCUCUAUCCUCCUUGAGUGAUGUCACUGUUUCUCCAUUCAUUUGCUCAUCUCUGACAAGCUGAAGACAAAAGUCAUUGAAAAGUCAUUGGUGAAGUUGUCAAGUAUUUUUAAACAAAUAAACA